rnacentral:lncRNA from 1 species
AUGUCAUUUUGUGAGACACAUCAUACGGUUUCCUCCUCACCUGUUGUAGCACCAAUUCGAUACUAUCGCAGUCAGUUUACUAUCAAAUGCUUUGAGGUGACAAUUCACCACCACUUAUUUUUUUUUCUUCAGAUUACUGUGUUUCAUUCAAAGGACUUUGCCUCUGCAGUUGGUUGUGAUCUUACGUGGACUUCGCUUCCACUUGGUAGAGUUGUAUCAUGGACAUAUGAGGUCUCCUUUUGUUCUGUUUUCCUUACCUCCCAGAUUAAAGUAGAAUUUCCCAGUGCUACCCCAAUUAUAAACACAAACACAAGACUCAAAUAGCAGAGUACCACCUGGCCCUAGGGAGGUCCGGCAGAUGGUCCAGGAUAGGAUUUUAGUAUUUUUAAAAUGAUUAUCGAAAUGAAAACAAAAUUUUUAAACUCUCACAGAUACCAGUGUCUCUACUUUGAGAAAUCCCAUUGCAAACCAGUCCUAAAACAGCCAGUGACCAAGUGGCCUCCGAAAUUUGCCGUGCAACCCUACCUCAGUCUGUUGACAAAGAGGAAACACUGGGGGAUCCCCUCCUGUUCCUCCCAGGUUUUCAUCACUGCCUACCAUGUACCCAGUGCUCUUCCAGACAUGUUGAGGUAGGGAGUGCAGUUGGGCCGUAUCCUUUUUUGAUACUGGUCACUAGAGAAAGAGGAACAGAAUGGAGAGAUUUGGCUCCAGUAAAUCUGUUUGGAUGGUACCAAGUGCUGCAUCCAGUCCCAGGAGGCCCCGGGAGAGCAGGAGGCUCUUCUGCGGGGGUUCUUUGGCCAACAGCAAAUUCUCAACACCAUCCUUAACUCAGAGUCCCAGCCCUUAAGGAUAAAAGCUCUCGAUGAACAGCUAUUUCGCUCCAUCAACUUCCCAGCACGAACACUGGCCCAGAAGUGCUUCAGGACUGGUUCAAAACAGACAAGAAUUCAGCCUGUUUCCUUGUAAAUAUCCCACAAAUUAUGGUCUGCGAAUUGAGGCUCGGUGCAUUGGUUUUCCAAAUAUGUACAACAGGCACUGCAAACACAAAAAGCUAAAGAUAAUAUGUUAGUGAAAACUGUAAGUUAAGACUUCUGGGAGAGCCCUGAACGAGUUGCAACAGGGAGGCCAAGAGACUCCAGGACGUCAGCUUCUGGCUUAAAAUAAAGCACCAAUAACACCAAUCUCUACUAGCA